AAUUUUGGUAUAAAUACAAGUUUGUUUAAAAAAGAAGCAUCAUUUAUUUUAGUAAUGGUGAAAGAAAUUAUAUAAAAUAUUUGGAUAUGUACCGUAUGGGAACAAAAAAUUUUUUUUAAGUAGAGUUUUAUCCUUGUACCUUUUGCAUCAUGGCUUAGUAAGAGGAUUUUUUAAAUUAAAUCUCUCGAAACCUAAGGAGCUACCUUAAUUUUUGGUUUAGCCGUAUAAGAGUGAGUGUGGCAUAACUCUAUUUAAAAUUUAAGGUAGAAAUUAUAUGUUAUUCGUUUUAGGUGAUAGCUAGUUAUGGUAAAAAAAUAUAUAAGUAUUAGAUAUAAUUUUAUUAUAUAUAUAUAUAUAUAUUGUAUAUAAUAAUUUAUUUCUUAGUUAUGUGAGGGUAAGCUCGCAUAAAUUUAUUUAGCUAAAAGUUAGGUAUAAAUCUAGGCUUGGAGUUAGUCAUGAUACAGAAUUUGUUAAAAAUACAUAUUGCAUAUAAAUUUUAUAAUAUAUUAUAAAUAUAUCAUUCAAUUAUUUAAUUAAGGUAUAAUUGAUUUAUGCUAAGAUGAGUAUUAUUAUGAUUUAAAAUUUAAAAAUAAAUUGAAUUUUUAAAAAUAAUCUAAUAAAUGUUAUAAAAUAUAUUCUAGGAACUCGGCAAAACUUAGCUUCGCCUGUUUAGCAAAAACAUGUCUCUUUGAAAGCAACAUAUAAGGAGUCUGGCCUGCCCGG
rnacentral:rRNA from 1 species